UACGUAGGGUGCAAGCGUUGUCCGGAAUUAUUGGGCGUAAAGAGCUCGUAGGCGGCUUGUCACGUCGACUGUGAAAACCCGGGGCUCAACUCCGGGCCUGCAGUCGAUACGGGCUGGCUUGAGUGCGGUAGGGGAGACUGGAACUCCUGGUGUAGCGGUGAAAUGCGCAGAUAUCAGGAGGAACACCGGUGGCGAAGGCGGGUCUCUGGGCCGAUACUGACGCUGAGGAGCGAAAGCGUGGGGAGCGAACAGG
rnacentral:rRNA from 1 species